GGCAGUCAGAGGCGAUGAAGGGCGUACUAAUCUGCGAUAAGCGCCGGUAAGGUGAUAUGAACCGUUAUAACCGGCGAUACCCGAAUGGGGAAACCCAGUGUGAUUCGUCACACUAUCAUUAACUGAAUCCAUAGGUUAAUGAGGCGAACCGGGGGAACUGAAACAUCUAAGUACCCCGAGGAAAAGAAAUCAACCGAGAUUCCCCCAGUAGCGGCGAGCGAACGGGGAGGAGCCCAGAGCCUGAAUCAGCAUGUGUGUUAGUGGAAGCGUCUGGAAAGGCGCGCGAUACAGGGUGACAGCCCCGUACACAAAAGCGCAUGUGCUGUGAGCUCGAUGAGUAGGGCGGGACACGUGGUAUCCUGUCUGAAUAUGGGGGGACCAUCCUCCAAGGCUAAAUACUCCUGACUGACCGAUAGUGAACCAGUACCGUGAGGGAAAGGCGAAAAGAACCCCGGCGAGGGGAGUGAAAAAGAACCUGAAACCGUGUACGUACAAGCAGUGGGAGCACCCUUUGGGUGUGACUGCGUACCUUUUGUAUAAUGGGUCAGCGACUUAUAUUCUGUAGCAAGGUUAACCGAAUAGGGGAGCCGGAGGGAAACCGAGUCUUAAC
rnacentral:rRNA from 1 species